rnacentral:lncRNA from 1 species
AGUGAACCGCGUAGUUCGCUCUUUACUUCUUUUAGUCACUACAUGUCUACAUCUCUCUCUCUUUCUCUCUCUGCGCUAUAACCAUGAAUGAAAUCUUGUUAAAUUCUAGGGUUUCUUCACAUCUAAAUAUGUAGAAAAUCUCAAACUGCAACAAUUUCAGGUUUGAUUCGCUUUCUCUUCUCUUCUGCUCUUUGUGUUUCAUACUACAUAAGAAUUAUCUUGAGAUGAAGUAUGAAUGCCUAAAAAUUUCAUCUAUGCUCUUCGAGAAAAAUUAAAGUAUUUGUAUCACCUUUGUUUAUAGUUCUAUAUGACUAGCAAACAUUUAUUUAAUUUGUAGUUAUACAAGCUGAAAAUGAUAAUUUACUAAUAAAUGCCACUAAAUUGCAGAAUGGAUUUGUGGAAUGAUUAGAAUAAUACAAUGAAAAUUGACAAUUGUGUGUUUUUUAGAGCCUAACUUAUAUGUGUAAAUAGCUGACUCAAGGCUUUGUAUCAGUUUGAUUAAUUCAGUUGCGCAAGCAACUUAAGUUGGGUUUUCCGUGGGGGUGCACUAUUGCAGUAUUGCACUAGUCUUUAUCUUAAUUAAUAAGGAACAAUAAUAAACUAAUAUAGUAUGAUCCAAAAUGUCUUCAGUCUUUAGGUAAUUGUAAUUUAGUAAUUUACCUUAGGGUCUGUUUGAUUCGAGCGGUAAACUGAUUUACCGGUGAAAAUGGAGGACACGGGUUGGAAUUUAUGAAAUCAGAGAACUGGAGAAGAAGAUAAGUCACGAAGUGAGAGGGAAGAUCUCUUCUUACUAUAUUGCACAAUUACUAAUCUACCCCUCCGAAAAAUUUACCGGGAAAGAAUCCCACUCGAAUCAAACAGACCCUAAAGUGUAUUAUCAUUUUGGUGGAAAAUAUAGAUGGAAGAUUCAUACGAUUAUAGCUUCUAUGUGAAGGCAGGCAUCUCAUCCUUUCCAAAACUGAAACUUUGUUCCAAAUUGAUUGAUCAACUUUCGUAUCGUUUAUUUCUAUGGUUUUAGAAUGCUGUAGGUAGAUUUAAAGGCUCCUUAUAUAGGCUGUAUUCAUAAUAUACUUAAUAGAUUUGAUAUAUUCAGUUGAAAUUUUUUCUUAAAUCUUGAAUGAGUACUGUUUUCGCUGAGUACAUGAUAGUUAUCUCAAAGUUCAAAAACUCCUGAUGAUAUGCGACUCGUGAUUUUUGUAAUUAGUUGUUAGAUCAGAAGAAUGGUAGAAUCACCAUAGUGCUUAAAUCCUACAGUGGCUAUGGACUAUGGAGACUCUGUGGUUAUCCCUGCUAAUGUAUUAUCAUAUAGAGUUUGUAUAGGAUCUUGCCUCGAACAUACAAGUGAAGGGUGCACAGAGUAUUACAAUAUGCUGUAGAAGGUAGUGAUUGUUUUUUUUUUCUUAAGCCACAAAUUGGAAUGGAGCAUUAAUUGUAGAUGACCGUAGAGUUUGCUCAUCAUAAUAUAAGAACACUAUCUGAGACCUUUGCAUAUUCUCCAAGUCUUGUAUAGUUCUCUUUGCAUGAUCGGCGUUUACGCAGGCUACUACUUAUCAUUUUAAUUCUUUGUAUCAAUGUAACAUUUGGGUAUGUGAAUUAAUUAAUUUACGAGGGAAGAAAAGUGAGCUUCUGCAGUUGUUUCUUCAGUGGAUGUUUUUGACAUUGUAAAUUUUGCUUUGAUUGUCCAUAACUUUUGAUUUUUUUCGUUUAUUCUGUUGUAGAAAUGACUGUCUGCAGUUGGGAGUUCCAACUAUGGAGAUGGUACUUCUCACUUUGAACUCUGACAUUCACCCUCAUCAGGCAAUGAACGGAUCCAAGGUACUGUACUCUGGUUAUCUGUCAUUGUUGUUUGUGAUUAUUGUUCGCUGAUUAUGUUUAAAAUUUGCAAACGAGAAUGGGAAUGAGCUUGUACAAUGAUAUAAAAUUGUUAGAGAUGCGGAAUAAACGUUUGACAUUAUAAAGACAAUUAGUUGAUUGCUGAACUAAUGUCAUUUGGAUGACAAGUGGAAUUAAGUCCAAGCAAGAAAAACAGUGGAACAUGGCAUCACAUGGAGAAAUAAUUCAUGUCAUUGAGCAAUUAGUGAGAUGGGUUUUUCUUUUUGGAAAGAGAGGAGAGGGUCGGGGAGCGUGGAUGGAGGAUAGGUAGAAACAGGUUUUUUGCUGAUCCUGGAAACAGAUCCCAGUAUAUGGGAGAGUGACUAGUGGAGUGGCUCCCGGGCAAAAGAAGAGUCAUGGCAGAACCGCACCCUAAUAAAAACAAUAUACAAUAUAGGUUUACUCAGUAUUCAUACAAUAUGCAUCUUAAUGUGCUGACAUGUGUUUUCCUCUUUUGUCACCUUUUCACAUGUUGAAUGGGAAGUUUAGGUGGAUGUAGAGACUAAUUCAAAGAUGAUAGAGGGAUCUGAUACUUGGAGUGAUGACAAGACUAAGGAUGAACAGAGACGUUAAUUGAUUGAAAUUAUUUCAUUAGUUAUUCUUUGGUGUAUGUUCCAUAAGAUGUAAUCUGUACUAUUUGCUGAGUUGUAAACCAAUACAUAAUGAUUAAUUUUGUAGCUAUUGUUUGUUAAUGGUGAAACAAGUUACAUUAUGGCAUGUACUUUGUUUACCCAUUUUAUCUUUAUUCAUGAUUAGUCUUCAUCAAUUACUCAUGCGUUAAAUAAUGUAUUAGCACAUAAUCUCAACUUUUGAAGUCCCUAAUUUUAGUACUUGGAUGGGAUCUGAUAUUUAGAUCAUAAGAAUUAGUAUGCUUUAUUUAGUUUUGGGCUAUGCUUUCAGUCCUGUCAUAUUAUUAGUAAGAUGAAAAGUAGUUGGUUGAGAUUUCUUCCCUAGGAGGCUAGGAUGACUUGUUCUA